AGAGAAGAAAGAAGAGAAAAGGAUCUAAGAACAAAAUAGUGAGAGAGAGAAAAGAGUCUUUGAUCAAGUGAAAGAUGGUGUUGCUCUUGAAUUUGGUUUCUCUUUUCUUUGUCUUUUUCUUUUUG
rnacentral:ribozyme from 13 species